rnacentral:rRNA from 1 species
CUCGGUGGCCAUGGCGAAGGGGAAACACCUGUUCCCAUCCCGAACACAGCAGUUAAGCCCUUCAGCGUCAAUGGUACUCCCCGCUAUUUGGUUCAGUUCUCUUUGAGAUUUUAAUUAUGAAACAAAUGGCGGGGGGAAGAGUAGAACGCUGCCGAGC